rnacentral:rRNA from 1 species
UACACGCUGUGACUAGCAUAUCAAUAAGCGGAGGAAAAGAAACUAACAAGGAUUCCCUCAGUAACGGCGAGUGAAGCGGGAAGAGCUCAAAUUUGAAAUCUUGAAAGGUCACCUUUCACGAAUUGUAGUUUAAAGAAGUGUUUUCUGUUACGAUCGUAAUAUAAGUUCUUUGGAAUAGGACAUCACAGAGGGUGAGAAUCCCGUCUAUGAUUGCGAUUUGUAGCUUUGUGAUACACUUUCAAAGAGUCGGGUUGUUUGGGAAUGCAGCCCAAAACGGGAGGUAAAUUUCUUCUAAGGCUAAAUAUUGGCGAGAGACCGAUAGCGAACAAGUACCGUGAGGGAAAGAUGAAAAGAACUUUGAAAAGAGAGUUAAAUAGUACGUGAAAUUGUCAAAAGGGAAGCGUUUAACACCAGUGUUGUUUUCUGAAAAUCAACCUCUGUUAGCUUUAUGCAUGUUUGUUUAGACCUAAUCAGCUAUCUUGCAUGUUCUAUUGUUUGCAGUGGUGCACUUUUCAGUUUACAGGUCAACAUCAGUUUUUUUUACCGUAAAAAAGUUAAAGAAAGGUAGCUCAUGGCUCCGGUCGUGAGUGUUAUAGUCUAUUUCCUAUGCGGUAGGAGAGACUGAGGUCUGCAGUGUAGGCUAUUUGGCUAGAUACUCAGGUGCUAUGUGAUACCAUUUCAUAAACAACUUGUUGAUUAUGUUUUGUCUAUUGCAUACUCGCUUGUACUAUCAUACCUACGCUUAGGAUGUUGAGUAGCGACAUACGCAC